UGAACGCUAGCGGGAGGCCUAACACAUGCAAGCCGAGCGGUAGAGUCUCUUCGGAGACUUGAGAGCGGCGCACGGGUGCGGAACACGUGUGCAACCUGCCUUUAUCUGGGGGAUAGCCUUUCGAAGGGAAGAUUAAUACCCCAUAAUAUACUGGAUGGCAUCAUCUGGUAUUGAAAACUCCGGUGGAUAGAGAUGGGCACGCGCAAGAUUAGAUAGUUGGUGAGGUAACGGCUCACCAAGUCAGCGAUCUUUAGGGGGCCUGAGAGGGUGAUCCCCCACACUGGUACUGAGACACGGACCAGACUCCUACGGGAGGCAGCAGUGAGGAAUAUUGGACAAUGGGUGAGAGCCUGAUCCAGCCAUCCCGCGUGAAGGACGACGGCCCUAUGGGUUGUAAACUUCUUUUGUAUAGGGAUAAACCUAGAUACGUGUAUCUAGCUGAAGGUACUAUACGAAUAAGCACCGGCUAACUCCGUG
rnacentral:rRNA from 1 species